UGUACUAUUGAAAUCGUUUAGAGGAUUUAAAUGAGCUGCUAUUAAUCUUGUUAUCCAGGUGUCUGAUACAUUCACUUGCACUUAUGUCUGUCUCUCUUUAGCCGUUGCUGCAGCACAACUUUCAGCUCCUCUGUUCCUCAGUGAAUCUGUGAUAGUGCUGAUCUCAGCUGCUGCUGGAUCUCUGGUGUAUAUGGUUUUGAUUUGGAUGUUUUGUGUGUGCAGGGGACACAAAAAGGCAGCUCAGACCCAUGAAUAUGAGAUUCCUCAAUCACUCCACAAACAGAUUGGACAAAUGACGGAAUCUGAAAUGACAGAGGUAGUUUACACAUAUAACAAAACAGA